AGAGUUUGAUCCUGGCUCAGAUUGAACGCUGGCGGCGUGCUUAACACAUGCAAGUCGUGCGAGAAAGGGGACUUCGGUCCCUGAGUAGAGCGGCGCACGGGUGAGUAACGCGUGGAUAAUCUCCCCAGAAGUUCGGGAUAACGGCGGGAAACUGCCGCUAAUACCGGAUACGCUCCAAUUUCGGUUGGGGGAAAGGCGGCCUCUGUUUACAAGCUGUCGCUUCUGGAUGAGUCCGCGUCCCAUUAGCUUGUUGGUGGGGUAAUGGCCUACCAAGGCUACGAUGGGUAGCUGGUCUGAGAGGAUGAUCAGCCACACUGGAACUGAAACACGGUCCAGACUCCUACGGGAGGCAGCAGUGGGGAAUAUUGCGCAAUGGGGGAAACCCUGACGCAGCGACGCCGUGUGAGGGAUGAAGGCUUUCGGGUC
rnacentral:rRNA from 1 species